rnacentral:rRNA from 1 species
CGCAUCUGUGCAUGCAGCAUAUCAAUAAGCGGAGGAAAAGAAACUAACAAGGAUUCCCCUAGUAACGGCGAGUGAAGCGGGAAGAGCUCAAAUUUGAAAUCUUAAAGGGUUUCCCUUUACGAAUUGUAGUUUAAAGAAGUGUUUUCUGUUGAGGUUUUGGUAAAAGUUCUUUGGAAUAGGACAUCAUAGAGGGUGAGAAUCCCGUAUUUGACCUUUACUUUCAACCUUGUGAUACACUUUCAAAGAGUCGGAUUGUUUGGGAAUGCAGUCCAAAAUGGGUGGUAAAUUUCAUCUAAAGCUAAAUAUUGGCGAGAGACCGAUAGCGAACAGGUACCGUGAGGGAAAGAUGAAAAGAACUUUGAAAAGAGAGUUAAACAGUACGUGAAAUUGUCAAAAGGGAAGCGUUUGACACCAGUGUUGUUUUUCUGAAAAUCAAUUAAAGAACUGUUUAUGCUAAGUUGUUUAGACUUUAUCAGCUAACUGUUUAGUUUUGAGCUUUUCUUUAAUGCACUUUUCAGUUAACAAGUCAACAUCAAUUUCUUUUGCUGUAAAAAGGCUUGAGGAAGGUGGCUUGAGAUUCGUCUUAAGUGUUUAUAGCCUCUUGCCUAUGCAGUCGGAGAGAUUGAGGUCUGCAGCGUAGAUCCUUCGGGGCUAAAUGCAUUUGUGCUAAGUUAUAGCAUUUUAUAGACAACUUGUUGACUAUGGAUUUGUCUUGUAGCUUACUCGCUUAUGUUAUUUUACCUACGCUUAGGAUGUUGAACGCGCACAGAGUCUC